UCCGGUUUGGCACCGGCAGUCUCUUUAGAGUCCCCACCAUUACGUGCUGGCAACUAAAGACAGGGGUUGCGCUCGUUGCGGCACUUAAGCCAACACCUCACGGCACGAGCUGACGACAGCCAUGCAGCACCUGUGCUAGCCCCUUACGGACACGGGCUUUCACCCGCUUUAACUAGCAUGUCAAGCCUAGGUAAGGUUCUUCGCGUUGCAUCGAAUUAAGCCACAUGCUCCGCCGCUUGUGCGGGUCCCCGUCAAUUCCUUUGAGUUUUAACCUUGCGGCCGUACUCCCCAGGCGGUGGGCUUACCGCGUUAGCUCCGGCACCGAGGGGCAAGCCCCCAACGCCCAGCCCACAUCGUUUAGGGCGUGGACUAC
rnacentral:misc_RNA from 1 species